rnacentral:rRNA from 1 species
UCAGGACGAACGCUGGCGGCGCGCCUAAUACAUGCAAGUCGAACGGUCUUUCUAUGGAAGCUUGCUUCCACUGAGAAGAUAGUGGCGAACGGGUGAGUAACACGUGGGUAACCUGCCCAUAAGAGGGGGGAUAACAUCCGGAAACGGGUGCUAAUACCGCAUAGUUUUCUUGAUCGCAUGAUCGGGAAAGGAAAGACGGCCUUUGUGCUGUCGCUUAUGGAUGGACCCGCGGCGUAUUAGUUAGUUGGUGAGGUAACGGCUCACCAAGACGAUGAUACGUAGCCGACCUGAGAGGGUGAUCGGCCACAUUGGGACUGAGACACGGCCCAAACUCCUACGGGAGGCAGCAGUAGGGAAUCUUCCGCAAUGGACGAAAGUCUGACGGAGCAACGCCGCGUGAGUGAAGAAGGUUUUCGGAUCGUAAAACUCUGUUGUCAGAGAAGAACAAGUCGGAGAGUAACUGCUCCGGCCUUGACGGUAUCUGACCAGAAAGCCACGGCUAACUACGUGCCAGCCGCGGC